GUGAAGGAGUGUAGACAUGUUAAAGAGAGUUUAGGUAAGGAGGAGCCGUUUUUGUCGCUGUUUUGUAAGCCAGCUGCAAGGUUUCAAAUUUGAUUCAACAGUAACUGGGAGCCAGUGGAGGGAGAUGAACAAAAGAGUGACAUGUGUUUUUUUCGUUCACUCAGGUUUUGGUGCCGUGCAGUGUAUGAAGAUGUGGACUCUCGCUGCAGACCGCUGGAUCUGUCUGCUCGCUCUGGCUGCAGUGAUGCUCGUCUCUGCAGGUAUACAAAGCAAGAAUUUUAUAUCAAGAGUGUGUGGUAGUGGUAAAGAACAUGUUAUUAAACCAGCUUUAAACUGUAUGUUAUGGUAAGUUGCUGUUAUUUCAACUUUCGUUUGUAGUGAUACAAUGAACUUAAAAAGGCUUUAUUCAAAAAGACUUUACUUUAUUUGAAUGUUACUUUUUUUUAUUGUGGCUGAACCUUUAAUGAGUCCUUUUUAUGCAGAUUGCUGUAAAGGUAUGCUGUAGAUAUUUUUCUUCAGAAAACACUGCUUAUACAUGUACAUGAAGAGAAAAGCAAAGCGAUAAAAGAGGUAUCACUUUGUCUGCUGGAGGUGCCAAGUGAACACAAGAAGUUGUCACCUGGCUAACUUAGUAGUAUUGCUGCUUUGAAGGUGACAGUUUGUAGACUCCUUAUGCAAGACCAAAGUGAACUUUCCUCACACUUUCCAAUGAACAUCAAAGUAUGUAUUUGGUUUAUGUUUGCCAUGCAAAAAAGUGGGCACAUUUAGCAAUAAACUCACUUAAAGAUUGCGUAUACUUCUGUAGGUUUUUUGUCCUAGACUUCCUCUUUCAGGAAACAUGCAAGCUGCUCUUUCUUGUUAUUUUAUAGCCUGAGAAGAAGACAAUAAAUGCUAAGGUUUAAGAUGACCUAAGUAAAAUCUCCAUUGUGCAGGACUUUACAACAGCCAUGGAGGACCUGAUGUUCUUCAUCCUCCAUAAACUAAACAGAAAUCCUCAUCAUAAGCCUGGCUAGGUUGUGUCAAAAAUACAGCAAAUGCUGGGACAGCCUCAAAAAAAUAUGAAUUUUGGUUGGAACACAACACAAAGAAACCCACUCCUGUUUCUUCAGACUUAUUGAUUAUCACCUAAAUCACUGCUGUUUUAUGUUGUUGAGUAUUAAUGAUACUGCUGAAUAAUGACUGUGUCUCUCUCGUCUUGUCUGUUUUUGUCUGUGUGUGUGUAUGUGUGUGUGUGUGUGUGUGUGUGUGGGGGGGAGUAGAUGCUUUUGUGAACCCACCCUGCUGUUUCACAGCCGAAGAGAGAACAAGUAACCCAGUGAUAAAGUGCAUUAAACAGAAAUACAGGAGGAACUGCAAACCAAGAAACUUUGCGGUUCAAGUUAAGGGUGGAAAUUGGGAGUGUAUCAAAUCUAAUUCACAGUGGAUUAUAAGGGAGAUGGACAUGGGCAACAUAAGCUGUCGUCCAGAAUAAAGAAAAUGAGAAAUGGGAAUUGAUGUGGAGCAGCAAAAACCACGCAGCUACUGUGAUCAACUGCGAUGAACAACUCCUUAUGGCUUUUAUGAAUAUAUUCUUUACAUUUCUUGCUUUUAUGGAAUUUCUUUCUGCAGCUUGAAUUAUGUCCAGGUCAUAAGUGAGCAUGAAGUUAGUGAGAGCUACUAAAAUGUUUUUUCCAAACACAUAUUAGAAGUAUUUCUUCCAAUUUUAGUCAAGGUUGUCAA